GACGAACGCUGGCGGCGUGCUUAACACAUGCAAGUCGAACGGAAAGGCCCUGCUUUUGUGGGGUGCUCGAGUGGCGAACGGGUGAGUAACACGUGAGUAACCUGCCCUUGACUUUGGGAUAACUUCAGGAAACUGGGGCUAAUACCGGAUAGGAGCUCCUGCUGCAUGGUGGGGGUUGGAAAGUUUCGGCGGUUGGGGAUGGACUCGCGGGUUAUCAGCUUGUUGGUGGGGUAGUGGCUUACCCAGGCUUUGAAGGGUAGCCGGCCGGGGAGGGUGACCGGCCACAUUGGGACUGAGAUAGGGCCCAGACGCCUACGGGGGGCAGCAGUGGCGAAUAUUGCACAAUGGGCGGAAGCCUGAUGCAGCAGCGCCGCGUGCGGGAUGACGGCCUUCGGGUUGUAAACCGCUUUCGCCUGUGACGAAGCGUGAGUGACGGUAAUGGGUAAAGAAGCACCGGCUAACUACGUG
rnacentral:rRNA from 1 species